UUCCCACCAUACAACUCCCAGCUUCCUCAUUCCCAGGAUCCUUUGCAGCCAGCUCAGCAGGAGCAGACAGUGCAGACAGGCCAGGUACCUCAUGUGCAACCAUAGAAUGGAAACUGAAUUUACCAGCUUGAAGGAAGUACAAAGUCUGCCGACCCAGAGAAGACCAGAUGAUUUGCUGCUUCAAUAUGGCCUUUUGAUAUUAAUUGGGGUAUUUACAGUAGUAUGGUUAUGAGUAUCAAUGUAGACUGCACUGGUGAUCUACUUAUUUAAUUUAAGCCGUGUAUUUUAGGAAAGGAAAUUAAAGUAUGUUUACAAGCAAA